rnacentral:tRNA from 1 species
GGGGCCAUAGCUCAGUUGGUAGAGCGUUUGAAUGGCAUUCAAAAGGCCGGGAGUUCGAUUCUCCCUGGCUCCACCA